rnacentral:rRNA from 1 species
ACUGAACGCUGGCGGCAGGCUUAACACAUGCAAGUCGAGCGGGGUGAUGGUGCUUGCACUAUCACUUAGCGGCGGACGGGUGAGUAAUGCUUAGGAAUCUGCCUAUUAGUGGGGGACAACAUCUCGAAAGGGGUGCUAAUACCGCAUACGUCCUACGGGAGAAAGCAGGGGAUCACUUGUGACCUUGCGCUAAUAGAUGAGCCUAAGUCGGAUUAGCUAGUUGGUGGGGUAAAGGCAUACUAAGGCGACGAUCUGUAGCGGGUCUGAGAGGAUGAACGGCCACACUGGGCCUGCGACACGGCCCAGAAUCCUACGGGAGGCAGCAGUGGGGAAUAUUGGACAAUGGGGGGAACCCUGAUCUAGCCAUGCCGCGCGUGUGAAGAAGGCCUUAUGGUUGUAAAGCACUUUAAGCGAGGAGGAGGCUCUUUUGGUUAAUACCCAAGAUGAGUGGACGUUACUCGCAGAAUAAGCACCGGCUAACUCUGUGCCAGCCGCCGCCGUAA